rnacentral:rRNA from 1 species
GGAUCCAGACUUUGAUCAUGGCUCAGGACGAACGCUGGCGGCGCGCCUAACACAUGCAAGUCGAGCGGGAAGCUUUUUAAGGAUUCUUCGGAUGAAUUAAAAAGUGGAGAGCGGCGGACGGGUGAGUAACGCGUGAGAAACCUGCCCUAUACAGGGGGAUAGCCAUUGGAAACGAUGAUUAAUACCCCAUAUGACCACAGUAUCGCAUGAUACAGCGGUGAAAACUCCGGUGGUAUAGGAUGGUCUCGCGUCUGAUUAGCUAGUUGGUGGGGUAACGGCCUACCAAGGCGACGAUCAGUAGCCGGCCUGAGAGGGUGACCGGCCACACUGGAACUGAGACACGGUCCAGACUCCUACGGGAGGCAGCAGUGGGGAAUAUUGCACAAUGGGCGAAAGCCUGAUGCAGCGACGCCGCGUGAACGAUGAAGGCUUUCGAGUCGUAAAGUUCUGUUCUUGGGGAAGAUAACGACGGUACCCAAGGAGAAAGCACCGGCUAAAUACGUGCCAGCAGCCGCGG